rnacentral:rRNA from 1 species
AACGAACGCUGGCGGCAUGCCUAACACAUGCAAGUCGAACGAGACCUUCGGGUCUAGUGGCGCACGGGUGCGUAACGCGUGGGAACCUGCCCUUAGGUUCGGAAUAACUCCCCGAAAGGGGUGCUAAUACCGGCUAAUGUCUUCGGCCCAACGUGUUAUCGCCUUUGGAUGGGCCCGCGUUGGAUUAGCUAGUUGGUAGGGUAAAAGCCUACCAAGGCGAGGUUCCAUACCUGGUCUGAGAGGACGAUCAGCCACACUUGAACUGAGACACGGCCCCGACUCGUACGGGAGGCAGCAGUGUGGAAUAUUGGACAAUGGGCGAAAGCCUGAUCCAGCAAGGACGCGUGGGUGAUGAAGGGAUGAGGGUUGUAAAGCGCGAUUUCCCGGGAGGAUAAUGACAGUACCGGGAGAAGAAGCUCCGGCUAACUCCGUG